rnacentral:rRNA from 1 species
GAGACGCUGGCGGCGUGCCUAAUACAUGCAAGUCGAACGAACUCUGGGUUGAUUGGUGUUGCUUCAUGAUUUACAUUUUGAGUGAGUGGCGGACUGGUGAGUAACACGUGGGUAAACCUGCCCAAAAAGUGGGGGAUAACUUUGGAAAACAGAUGCUAAUACCCGCAUAACAACUACUUACCGCUGGGCCCAACUUUGAAAAAGGGCCUGCGCUAUCUUUUUUGAUGGACCCCCGCGCGCGUUUACCUAUUGGGGGGGGUAACGGCUCACCAUGGCUGUGAUACGUACCCAACCUGAAGGGGUAAUCGCCCAUUGGGACUGGAACACACGGCCCAACUCCCUACGGAGGGCACCAUUAGGAAAUCUUCCACAUGGGACAAAGCCCGGAGGAACCAUGCCCCGUGGAUGAAAAAAGGUUUUCGACUCUAAAACUUCUGUUGUUAAAAAAAAAUGCUCGAAAAUUACUGGUCCAGGACUGGCCGGAUUCUACCCAAAAGCCCCCGGUAAAUACCUGGCCACCACCCGCGUUAACCUAAGUUGCCAGCCUUUGUCGGAAUUUUUGGCCUUAAACAAUGUCAGGCGGUUUUUAAUUCUGAUGUGAAGCCCUUCGCUUC